AGGGGUAUAGUUUAGCGGUAGAACUAAGGUCUCCAAAACCUUCAGCGUGGGUUCGAUUCCUACUACCCCUGCCA
rnacentral:tRNA from 1 species